rnacentral:lncRNA from 1 species
AGUAAGCGGAAUUAGAUGAGAAAAGAUUAAGAAAAGUUUAGAAAGAAUCAGAGUAGCAAAGGUAAGUAAGUAUUUGUUGUCCAGUUCUGUCUAGGUUUCGUCCUACAGUCAACAUUGCUCUGAUACCACUUCUGUCACAACCGGGUUUCGGGGCACCAAGACCCGGGCGCGAACAUAAUCACCAGGUGUGCUGGGACCAGGUCUCACACAUAUGAUGAAUCAUGGCACAGGAUCGAAUGUCACAACUUUACUAUAUAAUAGGAAUUCUAUACAAAAUAAAUAAUUACAUAUAAGGAGACAACGGUCCAGCAACCCAAAGUUGAAUGGGAGACGACGACCUAGACCUCUCACGAACACAUCACAGCAUCCUCCAAGCGCCUCAUCCAACGGUACCUGUUCUUGACCUGUGGGGGGUGUGAGACAGUAAGAGUGAGCUCACAUACGUUCAUCGCUCAACAAGUUGUGGGGAAUAAUGUGCAUGAACUCGCCAAAGGUGGGAGCUCACGUGAAGUGUAAGGCUUACCAAAGAGGAUGGUUAGAGCUGAGCAUUGCUUUUAAAGUUGGUCAAAAUUUUAUUAGCAAUUAGUAAGUAUAAGUAAAUACCAACCCAAUUAAGUAGUAGAACAAAAGUAACAACAUCACCUGCGAUGCAAUGCAUAUGACAAAUUGAAUUUAAGUUUCAUAAUUUAAUCAUCAGAGAGUCCUGAGCUGCUCAUGACCGUGAGCUCGGCUAGUAUACCAGUUUUACACUCUGCAGAGGUGGUACCUGUAGGAAACGGGUGACGCCUAAGAGGGGGGGGGGUGAAUUAGGACUUCCAAAACUUUUACUAAACUAGGCCACAAUUAAAUCCCUAGAGCAAAACCUUUGCAAGUAAUCAAACUAGAGUGUGCAAACUAGGUUUUGUCUAAGUGUUGCUAUCUCUACCGCAAAGGUUAAGUUUCAAUCUACACUAAACAAGUAUGACUACAAGAUUGAAACUUAAAUGCUUAAUAUAAAUAUGGAAAGUAAAGAGCUAGGUAGAGAAGCAAACUCUCGUGGAUGACGCCGGUAUUUUUACCGAGGUAUCCGGAACCACGCAAGGUCCCGACUAAUCCUCGUUGGUGCCCCUACGCAAAGGGAAGCCCACGCGAGGGCCAAGCACCUCGGUCGAGUAACUCCGUAGAGAGCCGCGGGCCUUCUCCACGCGCAAGUGGUGCUCCGCUUCCGGCUCCUCUCGGACGCUCCCCGCCGUCUCCACUAUCGAGCUUCCGGCCGAAACGCCGCGGGCCUCGUUCCCUCCGGUACACGGUGGCGGCCGUGACACAAACGCGGUUGUCACGGUCUCGCAAGACUCUCGCCCCACUCGGUACAAUUACAACGACUCACGCAAGAGCCGAGGGGUUGUGUGGUUUUACAAAACUUACUCAACUAACUAGGAUUCACCUAGAGCAAGCGCUAAUGCGGUCUAACUAACCUAAGCACUUCACAAAGCACCUACGCUAAUCACCGAGUGAUUCUAUUAAGCACUUGGGUGUUUGAGCACUUGGAAAUGUCUACAAUAUGCCUUGGUAUGUUUCUUGGGCUCCCACACAUGAGAAUGGCCGGUUGGGGUGGUAUUUAUAGCCUCCACACCCCCAACUAGCCGUUGGACAGAAAGCAGCAGCUUUCUGUCGUCGGGUGCACCGGACAGUCCGGUGCACCACCGGACACUGCACAGAAGAUGUCCGGUGCACGCCACGUCAGCCGACCGUUGGCGCCUGUAGCAGUCGACCGUUGGAUCUGACCGUUGCCGUCUGCCCGUUGGCACACCGGACAGUCCGGUGCACACCGGACAGUCCGGUGCUACAGCCAGAGAGCGCCUACCUGCGGCCUCUCUGCGCAGACAGUCCGGUGCCUCACCGGACAGUCCGGUGCACACCGGACACCAGUGUCCGGUGCGCCACCAGGCGCUGGCUGACAGCCCUUAUCUUGGAUUUCUUCGCUGAUUUCUUCGGGCUUCUUUGUUCUUGAGUAUUGGACUCCUAUGCAUCUUUUUAUGUCUUCUUUUGAGGUGUUGCAUCCUCAUUGCCUUGGUCCAAUUCUCUUCGCAUCCUGUGAACUACAAAACACAAACACUAGAAAACUUAUUAGUUCACAUAUUGUGUUGUUCAUCAAACACCAAAACUCAAUUAGCCAAAAGGCCUGGGGUCCAUUUUCCUUACAAUCUCCCCCUUUUUGGUGAUUGAUGACAACACAACCAAAGCAAGCAAAUAAUACAAGUAUUUGAGUGAAAAUAUGCAUUUUACUUGCUAAGAUGCAUGAUUGUCCCCACAAUGUGAAAUUAUGGACUUAAGCCUCCCCCUAACUCCAUAAUUCACUUACUUCCUAUUUUUGGACCAAAUAACCAAAACCACUUGAACAUUUGUAGAUAUAAAAUUUUAAAAUGGUGGUGUUUGGUGUUUGAUAUAGUUUUCAUUGCUUUGGUCCCUAAACUUCUCCCCCUUUGGCAUCAACCACCGAAAAGGAAGACAAUAAAAGCAUGUAGGAAGUAAAUAAAAACUUGCCCUCAUCAAGAAUUGUAUCAAUGAUAUCACUAGAAGGAUAUUAGAUUAAACUAUGUGAAUGAUACCACUUGAAGGAAUCCUCAAAAGAUUACUCCCCCUAAAUGAGUAUUCUCCUUUAGAAAGAGUUUUUCUCCCCCCUUUAGAGAUGAAGAAAUACUCCCCCUGACAGAGAUCCUCUACUUAGGAAAAAGCAUGUGAAAAAUUAGAGGUGCAAGACAUGAUUUGAAAAGACUAACUUCCCUUAUGCAUAGGUAACAGAAUAUGAAUUAACCACUUAUGCAUUUUUAGCAACAUGGAAGUAUAUGAUAUGAAAUAUAGUCUAAUCAAAUAUUGGAGAAGACAUGUAAAUGAUACUAGAUGUAGUCUCAAAAGAUACCAAUUGAAAGUCAAUGGCGAGCUUGAGAGACAUGAGAGUUCUUGGAGAUUUUGCAGUGGAAGAUUGUUGUCUUUCUCCGGGGACAUCAUUUUCCUUACAAUGAGACUAUCACAUAAAAUAGACUUGAAAAGGUGUUAGUCUCAAAGUAUUAGAUUAUAGAGUAACCUCCCCCUGAAGAUGUGCAUACAAGUUUUGAAUACUUGUUGGAGACAUGCACUUUGAUUUGAUAUCAAGAGGGGCAAAUUAUCCAUAAUCCAAACUUUGGCACAUAUAAGUUAAAUGAUACACUUUGGAGAGAUCAAAAAUUUUCAAUUGAUGCAUCAUUUACUAUGGAGUUAUAUAAAAGCUAUGUGCCGUGCUUAAAUAAACAUUUUAAGCCAUGUAGGUUUGCUUAAGUAUAUGAAUUAAGAACAAGCACUCCUACCAUAUGAUUUACCUAGUAUGCAUGAUUUUAAACAAAAGUACAUAACAAAUGUAAUACUAGGCAAGGAAGGUAAACUAGAUAAAAGAUAAAUAGAUACGCAUAUCUAAAAACGAGAAAUACAAUAAAACUAGUUACCUUAGUCAUGGGUGGGAAAUUUGGGUCCAAAAUUUUCACUAACUCACUUGGCAAUAAACUUGAUCCAAUAUGAUGUAUCCCAUGAUAUACAUCCCAAUUUAGCCAAGUCUCCAAAUUUCCCGAGGACCUUCGGUCCACUCACUUCCCUUUCGGGAUCCAAACCUUCUUGGUGCUUUUCAUGGUUGAAAUUAUCUCCUUUGGCACCCAGAUGCGUUUGGCCCCAUUUCCUUUGUUGGCUUGCUUGUUGGCCUUGAUUGCUAUCACCUUUCCGUUCUUUUUCUUCUUGAUCAAAUAUGGUGUAGCAUCCUUUUUGUUCACCUUUUUGAUGUAGGUGUUGGAGAUUUUGCUUGAUGGCUUUUGCUUGAGCUUUCGCCUUUGUUUAUCCCCGAUCAUCGCCUUGCAUUGGAAAGACUUGUGGCCUUCCAUGUGGCAUAGUCUACAAAUCACAGUUUCUCCCUCCAUAGGCUUGUUCACUCCCGCAGUGGUGUUAUCCUGUGAAGGUCGGAUUUGUUUGGCUUUGCCUUUCUUGUCAUACAAAGCCUUGCCAAGGCGAGCCACUUCUUGCUUUAAUUGUUCAUUUUCCUUUGCAACCUCAUCCGAACAUGUCUUUACAACAAUAUUCUCAACAACGUCUUGGUUGCAGGGGUUAGAAUCAUCAAUUAAAUCAAAGCAGGAAGUAGAAGCAUCUUUCUUAAUUAUUUCAGGUAUUUCAACUAAAGAUGUUGCUGGGGUGCUACCAAUGUUUUCUAGCUUAGUAGUUAGCUCAUUAUUGUGUAUGCUAAGAAUUUCCAUUUUCUCUAGCAAAUUUUCAAUAGCUUCUUGGGAGCUAGCUAACUUAGCCUUAAUUUUUUCAUUCUUUUUAAUAAGGCUAUCAUCGGUAGCAGUGGAUGGAGCACUAGAUUCUAAUAGCUCAAUUUUAGUUGAUAGCUCACUAUUUAAGUUUGCAAAAGUUUCAAAUUUUUCUAGCAAACCUUUGUAAUCAUUUUGAGAGCUAACCAACUUAUUUUUCAAAGUUUUAAGUUGAGCUUUUUGCUUAGUGCAAACAUCCUGGAAAAAUUCUACGGCUUCCGCAAGCUCAUCUAGAGAGGGCUUUCCCUCACCUUCAUCAUUACUACUACUUUCAUCACUAGAGGAUGGAAUGCUUUUGUUACCUCUUGCCAUAAGGCAUUUGUGUGAUGACCGUGAUGAUCGUGACGAGGACCGGUGGCUGCGUGUCCUUGGAGGUUCAUCUUCACUUGAAGAAUCAUCCCAAGUUCUAACACUUGUUAGCGCCUUGCCUUUGCUCCUCUCCUUUUUGGGUUUGGCCAUAUUUGGACAGUUGUCCCUGAAGUGACCCUUCUCCCCACAUGCGAAGCAUCCUCUCUUCCUUUGCUUUUUCCUGUCAAUGUUAAAGAGAAGAUCCUCGACCUGCAGGGGCACACCCAUUAGAUUAAUCUUGCGGAUCAUCCCCAUUACCUUUCCGACACGUCGGAUCGUUUCUUCGUCCUCGGAGGAUGAUGUGCAUGGUUGAUUAUCUUCAUCAUCAUCACUUUCUUCUUCUUCCUCUUCUUCACUUGAGGAACUUGGAGUGGGAGCCUUCUUUUUGCCCUUCCUUUCAUCACAUGCAAAAGCAUAUGGUCUUGAGGAAGUUGGCUCCUCUCCCCGACUCAUUUUUCGCGACAUCUCAAAGGCCGCGAUUUUCCCAAUCACAAUGGUCGGGGUCAUGUUGCUUAAGUCCUCCAUGUUGUGAAGGAUGGUGAUGAUGCUCCCAUAUCUUUGUUGUGGUAGCAGGGAGAUAAUCUUCCUCACAAUGUCCGCAUCACCUAGCUUAUUAAUGCCAAUAGAAUUGAGCUCAUUGAUAAUUAGAUUCAAGCGAGAAUACAUGUCUCUAACAAGCUCAUCAUCUUUCAUAGCAAAAGAAUUAUACUCAUUUAAGACUAGGCAAUGUUUUUGCUCACGGACAUUGGAUGUGCCGUCAUGGAGCUCAUGCAAUUUUAGCCAAAUCUCAUUAGCAGUUUUCAGGGUAAAUACUUGAUUGAAAAUAUCCAUGCUAAGAGAUUCAUACAAGCAAUUUUUGGCUCUAGCAUUUAAAUGAAUUUCUUUUUCUUCACUCGUGGUGGGUUUCUCGGGAUUCUUGAGGGGUUUCAUCCCGUCACGAGUGACUCUCCAAACACCUAGAUCAACGACCUCUAGGUAACAAGCCAUUCUAGCACUAUAAUAUGGGAAGUUAGUGCCGUCGAAGUGUGGUGGCCUAUGGGUAUCCAUCCCUUCCUCUAAAAAGCGUCGGCUCUUUUAGCGGUGAAGCUAAAGCGUUUCAAAUGAGCCAAACCGGGCUCUGAUACCACUUGUAGGAAACGGGUGACGCCUAAGAGGGGGGGUGAAUUAGGACUUCCAAAACUUUUACUAAACUAGGCCACAAUUAAAUCCCUAGAGCAAAACCUUUGCAAGUAAUCAAACUAGAGUGUGCAAACUAGGUUUUGUCUAAGUGUUGCUAUCUCUACCGCAAAGGUUAAGUUUCAAUCUACACUAAACAAGUAUGACUACAAGAUUGAAACUUAAAUGCUUAAUAUAAAUAUGGAAAGUAAAGAGCUAGGUAGAGAAGCAAACUCUCGUGGAUGACGCCGGUAUUUUUACCGAGGUAUCCGGAACCACGCAAGGUCCCGACUAAUCCUCGUUGGUGCCCCUACGCAAAGGGAAGCCCACGCGAGGGCCAAGCACCUCGGUCGAGUAACUCCAUAGAGAGCCGCGGGCCUUCUCCACGCGCAAGUGGUGCUCCGCUUCCGGCUCCUCUCGGACGCUCCCCGCCGUCUCCACUAUCGAGCUUCCGGCCGAAACGCCGCGGGCCUCGUUCCCUCCGGUACACGGUGGCGGCCGUGACACAAACGCGGUUGUCACGGUCUCGCAAGACUCUCGCCCCACUCGGUACAAUUACAACGACUCACGCAAGAGCCGAGGGGUUGUGUGGUUUUACAAAACUUACUCAACUAACUAGGAUUCACCUAGAGCAAGCACUAAUGCGGUCUAACUAACCUAAGCACUUCACAAAGCACCUACGCUAAUCACCGAGUGAUUCUAUUAAGCACUUGGGUGUUUGAGCACUUGGAAAUGUCUACAAUAUGCCUUGGUAUGUUUCUUGGGCUCCCACACAUGAGAAUGGCCGGUUGGGGUGGUAUUUAUAGCCUCCACACCCCCAACUAGCCGUUGGACAGAAAGCAGCAGCUUUCUGUCGUCGGGUGCACCGGACAGUCCGGUGCACCACAGGACACUGCACAGAAGAUGUCCGGUGCACGCCACGUCAGCCGACCGUUGGCGCCUGUAGCAGUCGACCGUUGGAUCCGACCGUUGUCGUCUGCCCGUUGGCACACCGGACAGUCCGGUGCACAUCGGACAGUCCGGUGCUACAGCCAGAGAGCGCCUACCUGCGGCCUCUCUGCGCAGACUGUCCGGUGCCUCACCGGACAGUCCGGUGCACACCGGACACCAGUGUCCGGUGCGCCACCAGGCGCUGGCUGACAGCCCUUAUCUUGGAUUUCUUCGCUGAUUUCUUCGAGCUUCUUUGUUCUUGAGUAUUGGACUCCUAUGCAUCUUUUUAUGUCUUCUUUUGAGGUGUUGCAUCCUCAUUGCCUUGGUCCAAUUCUCUUCGCAUCCUGUGAACUACAAAACACAAACACUAGAAAACUUAUUAGUUCACAUAUUGUGUUGUUCAUCAAACACCAAAACUCAAUUAGCCAAAAGGCCUGGAGUCCAUUUUCCUUACAAUACCCUUUACCCACAAGUCAUGUUACCCAUCUGCCAAGGGAUCGCGACUUCCCAUACACCUCUACCGAGGAGGCGAGGCAGGGUAACACUACGAGGCCUUUACAAAGUUCCACUAGCUUUAGAAAACCCGCUACAGUUUAUAGGAAGCUCCAAUGCAGGGUUCUUGCCUGACCGCCAUCGCAGCAAAAUCAACCAAGGACCUCCCUACACUGACCACUCCCCUACUGCCCUUGCCCCUUUCGGGUAAGGUAGUCCUCCACUAGCUUUCCUAAUUAAUCAGCCAAGGGCGUCCAUAAACCCUUGUGGUGGCACGUGUUUCUCAAGUUAAGCUCUAUGUUCCAAUUAACAUUAAUGAUCUUGACAUGAACAUAAAUAGAAUAACAAAAUAACUGGAACAUAGAUAUGAUAAAUAAUUAUCCCAAAUCCAUGUAAAGCAAUAGCAAACUACCCAAGUGAUUCAGGGGUAAACAAGGUAAUGAGAUAAACAAUCUAGGGUAACCUAUUGGGUCCCAUCAAAAUUAACCUAUGCAUGAAUAAAUGAUAUUAAAGAACAUUAUUGGGUAACAAAAGUGAAUCAAGGGCACAACUUGCCUGGGACUUGAGAUUCCAGGUACCAGAAUGAUCUUCAGGUGACUCGUGACCUCACGCUAGUCGUAGCAAUACAAACAAACAGUGUAUAGACAAAAUUAACAUUACACCAAACAUAAGUACAAACUGAAUAAUAAUAAUCUACGCGUCGCUACAAGACUAACGCAACUUGAACGGAUCAAAUCGGAGUUAAAACGAAGCAGUUACGAAUUUCCUAAGGUUUUAUGUAUUUGAUACGAGAUUAAUUAAGAGAUAAAUUUUAAUACAGCUUUCAUGUCAAACCAGAGGUACUAUGUGAUAAACAAUAAUAUUAUAGAAUUAUAGGAAUUGGAAUGAAUCAAUUUGGACAUCAUAUGAAUUUUCUAUGAUUAAUACAAGUUCUAGCAUUUAGUUUUACACUAAAAAUCCAUUUCUAAUCUAUUUUCUCUGAUUUUCCAACUUUCUGGACUAGGCCUCAAUUACCCGAAAAGGCAGGGGCCUCGGGGUAACAUUUCUAAGACACAGGAAACAGUAGCCAUGGACUGCGGGUUCUAAUUUGCCUAAACCGAGGGGUUCCAGUGAAAUUGGGCCCGCGAAGGGGUAUCGUGAGAUUCUGGCCGUUCGAUCAGAAACUACAGGCUCCGAUUAGAUCGCAAUUUUCUCCAAGCGGUACACCUCGCUAGCCGCCGGAUCUCGCAUCGACGGUUCUGAUUCCCUGAAACACUCGUCGCCCCGAACUCUAAUCCCAGUCGCCCAACUAAGAUCCAAUGGUUACAAACAUAUCCCCUUUCCCUACCAUCCGAGGCUGCUCACCUAGGAAUCAACGGCUAACACGCCGUCUUCUCCACGGCGCUAUCCGCCGCUGCGCGCACCAGGCAGGCACAGCCCCGCCCACGGCCGCAGACGCCCCCACCGAUGCGCGCAGUAAUCACGCCACCACGUCAGACCUAGGUCGAGCGAUGGUGAUACCACGCCCCGCUACGCCGAGCCGAACGCCAGCCCAGAUUAAGUCUAGCUGCCAAGGUGAGCUACGCCAGGAAGAAGAAUAAGGCGAGAACGUGGGGGUGUUCCUUACCGAGGGAUUGCGCGACGCAGGAGACCACAGCCGAAGUCUUGCGGCCCGACGAUGCCGACGUGGAUCCACCACGGCGGCCGCAUGCUCUACCCCUGCUACGACGGCGACUCUAUUUGUCGAUGUGGAGGGUCACUGAUUGUCGCAUCCAAGGUAUGCGGCGGCCGUUCUUUUUAUAUCCCGAAUGCGAGGCCGAGG